GGGGGGGCUAAUACUGCAGUCGAGCGAACCACUUCGGUGGGAAGCGGCGAACGGGUGAGUAACACGUAGGUGAUCUGCCCAUCAGACGGGGACAACGAUUGGAAACGAUCGCUAAUACCGGAUAGGACGAAAGUUUAAAGAUGCUCCUGGCAUCACUGAUGGAUGAGCCUGCGGCGCAUUAGCUAGUUGGUGGGGUAAAGGCCUACCAAGGCGACGAUGCGUAGCCGACCUGAGAGGGUGAACGGCCACACUGGGACUGAGACACGGCCCAGACUCCUACGGGAGGCAGCAGUAGGGAAUCUUCGGCAAUGGGCGAAAGCCUGACCGAGCAACGCCGCGUGAAUGAAGAAGGCCUUCGGGUUGUAAAAUUCUGUUAUAAGGGAAGAAAGGUGAUAGGAGGAAAUGACUAUCAAUUGACGGUACCUUAUGAGAAAGCCACGGCUAACUACGUGCCAGCAGCCGCGGUAAUACGUAGGUGGCAAGCGUUAUCCGGAAUUAUUGGGCGUAAAGAGCGCGCAGGUGGUUAAUUAAGUCUGAUGUGAAAGCCCACGGCUUAACCGUGGAGGGUCAUUGGAAACUGGUUGACUUGAGUGCAGAAGAGGGAAGUGGAAUUCCAUGUGUAGCGGUGAAAUGCGUAGAGAUAUGGAGGAACACCAGUGGCGAAGGCGGCUUCCUGGUCUGCAACUGACACUGAGGCGCGAAAGCGUGGGGAGCAGACAGGAUUAGAUACCCUGGUAGUCCACGUCGUNA
rnacentral:rRNA from 1 species